GGUCAAGUGAAUAAGUGCAUACGACGGAUGCCUUGGCAGUAGAAGGCGAUGAAGGACGUGAUAAUCUGCGAUAAGCUUCGGUUAGCUGAUAAUAAGCUUUAACCCGGAGAUCUCCGAAUGGGAAAACCCAGUGAUCAUAAGAUCAUUAUCCUUAACUGAAUACAUAGG
rnacentral:rRNA from 1 species